GGCAAAUCUCCUAAAAAAAAGGCAUCAGCAACAGCACCCACCUUCAACCUUACAAAAUAAUCCUGACUCACAUAAUAUUUUGCCAUUUAAAACUCACCUAGCCUCACAUCCCACUUCACCAGUUUUUUAGUUUUAAGAGUAACAAUUGCAUAUAUGGUUGACAUCUCUUCGGAUUACAUACACAUCUGUUCCAUAUUUUGCAGAAUACUUAUAAAGAAAAAUUCAAAAACAAGAUGACGAAUGAUUGGACAACAAGAUUAUCAAGGGGCUUUGCCAUUCUUCAGGUCAGUGAAGAAGUGGAGCGUGCUUUGGCAAAAUUAGGGCAUGCUAAAUUGACUGAAAGGUAUUCUUCCAAGCACAUAGCUGUUAUCGGGAUAGUUGUAUUGACUCCCUUGCAGCUGUUCGCAAUGACUUAAAGGAAUGGGAGACAUCUUCUAUCCUUAAUUUCAAAAUCCCGGUUACUGUUCACGGGGCAAUUUUUUUUUUGGGAUAACUAGCUUUACUUUUCCAUCUGUUGGGCUUUCAUCCUUUGAGUUUGUGGCCCAUUUUCACACACAGCAUCAGCAUCAGCAUCACUUGCAGAGCUUGAUGUCAUCUGCAAACAUGCGAUUUCGUCACUCCUCUCGCCGUCGUUAAUAGUUUCUUUCAUCAUCACUGGCACAGGAUGACGUCGUCCCUCUUUGCCUUUGCUGUCGCCGGCGUGCGUUUCAUUUUCCCAUCCUACUCCCAUAGCUUCGGUCAUCAUCAAUUGCAGAGCUUGAUGCCGUCCCCCUUUCCGUCAUCAUGUCGCCGACGAGCUUUUCCUUUCCCCCUCCUACUCCCAUAGCUUCGUUCAGGUUCAAUUGCAGGUCUAAAGGGUGCGUCAAUGGCUCAGUUGUGACGUUUUUUUUGGCAGCUUCUCUAGGAUUAUUGAAGAUAGGGCAUGGUGUAUAUCUACAAUCAGCAAUUGCGUCAUCAUCUUGCCUCAUGCUGCCAGGACCAGCUGUUUAUGUUGCUUUACAGAUGGCUUCCAAUUGUUUUGAAGGCCCCUCUAACCUAAAGCACCAAACAUAAUUCUUCUGUGAUGAUGGUUCAUGAACAACCAGGGUACCGUAUAAGUGUUGAGUGAGAGCCUUAUCUAUCUUUCUAUUUGAAUUCUGGUGAUCAAGGAUGAUUCAGGCGGUGAGUGAUGAAAGCUGCUGAAUUGGGUAAUACAGCUUUUCCUCAGCUUAAUGGUGUUGCCGGGGAAGAUCAGAAUCAGAAUGGAUCAGAUUUAUUCGAAGUUCCUAUCGAGUGAGCCAUUUGGAAUGGGAUAAAGAAGAUGGUGUUUAAUAGUCAGAUUCUAUCAAUUGAUCACUCUCUCUGGCUAUGUCUAUGGUCACAUCGUUAGAAGUGAUUAAUGUGAACAAUCAAAGUGUACCUCUUGUUUAAAAAGCUCCAAGUCCAGGUAUUGCCAAGUUAAACUUUGAUGCUUCUUAUAAAAGAGGUGCUGAUGCACAAUGCAUUUUGUAAUUGGAGACCAUGAGGGGCAAUUAAAUGUAGCAGCUGCAUGUUCUAUUCCUGAACCGGCAAGUGCAUAUAGUUGUAUCAUUAAAUGUAGUAGUUGCAUGUUCUAUUCCUGAACCAGCAAGUGUAAUUAGAACUUUGCAAUUUAGCUUUGAAUAAACUCUUCAUAAGAUGUUUAUUGCUUAUCAAUUCAAUUUCUGCGCUAAGAGUAUCAUCAUCAGCAUAAACAUCAACCAUGCUAAGUAUCCUACUCUAAUUUUUCUUUCUUUGUACUGGGGAUUUUAUUGUGCUUCCACAUGAGAGGUCUAUGUUGUGAAGUUUUGUGGUUUGGAUAGAGUUGUUGAAUACUUGUGUGAUUGGACCUUAUAAUUAUACAAUCCUAUAUAUAUAUAUAUAUGUAUAUAUAUAAUAAUUAAUCUAGAGUUGUAAAGAUAACAAUUAGAAGUAGUAUGAUAUGUGACCAAGUGUGUGGAGCGUAGCAAUAUUGAAAAAAUUUCGCACAAAUUCACAUCACUAUAGUUUUUUAAUUAGCUUGUCUUCCUCAAUCUCUUUAAUUGAUUUACUUUGAGAAGCUACUCACUUUACUUGUCUAUAGCCCUUUAAAUUUCACAAGAAGUUGGAAUAUUCGCUCUCUUCAUUAUACCUAUACUAUCUUUGCUUAUGCAACACUUCAUGCUCUGGUUUUGGAAAGUUUUCUUUCAAUAAAUUCAUAGUUUUUUUUCAUAUGUUUUUCCUAUCAGAACCGCAAGACAUUCCCUAUGUAUAUUGUUUGUUCUUCUUCAUAUUCAACAUUUGGCGGUGAUUGAAGCAUGACAUGUGUUCAAUUGAAGCCAUCACUAAAGGUCCAAGCAUAUGUUAUUUCACCACAAGAGCUAAGGUUUGCGAGGGUAAGUAAAAACAUACUUAGAGGAAUUGGAAGAAAAUUGAGGAAGAAGAAUGAUUUACAAACUAUAUGGAGAAUCAGUUCAUUUCACUGAGCAGCCAAUACAAGUUUCUCAUUAUCAGUUGUACCCUUGUCCAAAAAUUUCCACUCAUUUGUUUGACAUGUAAUUUAUAGAUAUAUCUGGUACUAAUGUGGACAAAUUUUAAUAUGAGGAUUAAGCCUUUAAUCAUUGAUAAAGUGCUACUUCUGUUUACAAUAGAGAAAAUGAGGAGAUGAGAUCAUUUAGGUAGAGAAAGGAUUGGUUGUCAUGCAUGUUUAAUGUUCUCAUCUCAUUGAUACUGUUUUGUUGAAUAUUAGUACUGAUCUCAUAGUGGGAACAUUAUGCUUUUUA